rnacentral:rRNA from 1 species
GCCCUUAGAGUUUGAUCCUGGCUCAGGACGAACGCUGGCGGCGCGCCUAACACAUGCAAGUCGAACGAGAGAGAGGGAGCUUGCUUCCUUGAUCGAGUGGCGAACGGGUGAGUAACGCGUGAGGAACCUGCCUCAAAGAGGGGGACAACAGUUGGAAACGACUGCUAAUACCGCAUAAGCCCACGACCCGGCAUCGGGAAGAGGGAAAAGGAGCAAUCCGCUUUGAGAUGGCCUCGCGUCCGAUUAGCUAGUUGGUGAGGUAACGGCCCACCAAGGCAACGAUCGGUAGCCGGACUGAGAGGUUGAACGGCCACAUUGGGACUGAGACACGGCCCAGACUCCUACGGGAGGCAGCAGUGGGGAAUAUUGCACAAUGGGGGAAACCCUGAUGCAGCGACGCCGCGUGGAGGAAGAAGGUCUUCGGAUUGUAAACUCCUGUUGUGAGGAAGAUAAAGACGGUACUCAACAAGGAAGGACGGCUACU